UGAUUAAACCGGUCAGAAAACAUUUGAUGCACUUAAUAAAGUACAAAUGUUCAAAGCUUAAUCUAGAAAACAUACAACUUGACCGAAUGUUCACAUAAAAUUUGUAUAGAGAACUAAACAACACAUCUCCUUUUUUUCUUGCAGGCUUUGUCGUGUACCCGAAACUUCUGGAAAGCAGGGCAGACGAUGACCGUCUUAUUUUGCACGUUCAUCCUGGUCUGACUCUCACUCUCGAAAAGAGCUCUAUAUUGGCGAAGCAUUUACAUUUUGUCUCAUCAUUUGAACAUUCCACCGCAACACUCUUCAACAGAGAAGAGCUCGAACGAAACUUGUACGAAGAUACCACGCAUAUGUCAUCUCUCAUUGUGGACCGAGUACAGAGUGGCGUGCAAGUGUAUGGAAUUCUCAAUCAUCACCUCAAGAUCGUUCCACUUGAGGUGGUGAGCCGAUCAAGUGAUGGCGGCUCUGCACAUAGGAUCAGCGAAAUUCUACAUAAGUCAACAUACACGUCUG
rnacentral:lncRNA from 1 species